rnacentral:rRNA from 1 species
UGGAAGUAAAAGUCGUAACAAGGUUUCCGUAGGUGAACCUGCGGAAGGAUCAUUAUUGAAUAUUCUGGAUGGGUUGUAGCUGGCUCUCCGGAGCAUGUGCACACUUGUCUUGACUUUAUUCGUCCACCUGUGCACCUUUUGUAGUCUUGGGGGUUGAGAGCGGUCGACUAUCGGAUGGCUAUGGCCUUUCCGGACGUGAGGAUUGCUGAGUGCGAAAGCAUACAGCUCUUCUCAAAUGACUUGCAAAACCUCUCCCUCGAGUACUAUGUAUUCAUAUACCACAUAGUAUGUUGUAGAAUGUGAUCAAUGGGCCUCUGUGCCUAUAAUAAUGAAAUACAACUUUCAGCAACGGAUCUCUUGGCUCUCGCAUCGAUGAAGAACGCAGCGAAAUGCGAUAAGUAAUGUGAAUUGCAGAAUUCAGUGAAUCAUCGAAUCUUUGAACGCACCUUGCGCUCCUUGGUAUUCCGAGGAGCAUGCCUGUUUGAGUGUCAUUAAAUUCUCAACCCCUCCAGCUUUUGCGAGUUGUGAUGGGGCUUGGAUCUGGGAGCUUGCGGGUCUUUAUCAAUAAAGGUCAGCUCUCCUGAAAUGCAUUAGCGGAACCGUUUGCAGUCCCGUCACUAGUGUGAUAAUUAUCUACACUGUGAUGAUUGCUCUCUGACUAGUUCAGCUGCUAAUCGUCCACUAUGGACAACACUUAAUGAACUUCUUGACCUCAAAUCAGGUAGGACUACCCGCUGAACUUAAGCAUAUCAAUAAGCGGAGGAA